rnacentral:rRNA from 1 species
GAGUUUGAUUCUGGCUCAGGAUGAACGCUGGCGGCGUGCUUAACACAUGCAAGUCGAACGGGCGAAUUAUAUCGGAGGUCUUCGGGCCGAAGAGAUAAUAAGCUAGUGGCGGACGGGUGCGUAACGUGUGGGUAAUCUGCCUUUGUCAUAGGAAUAACUGCUUGAAAAAGUAGCUAAUACCAAAUAACAUAUCGUAUAGGCAUCUAUAAGAUAUCAAAGAGAAAUCGGACAAAGAUGAGCCCGCAUCUGAUUAGCUAGUUGGUAGGGUAAAAGCCUACCAAGGCGACGAUCAGUAGCCGGCCUGAGAGGGUGAACGGCCACAUUGGAACUGAGACACGGUCCAAACUCCUACGGGAGGCAGCAGUGGGGAAUAUUGCACAAUGGGGGGAACCCUGAUGCAGCAACGCCGCGUGAGUGAAGAAGGCUUUCGAGUCGUAAAACUCUGUUGUAAGGGAAGAUAAUGACG